AUAUACUUAAAACUUAAUUUUUGAGUCAAAAAGCUUAAAUUUUAUUAAGGGACGAGAAGACCCUAUAGAACUUCAUUAGUUUAUUGGACCACACAAUUUUUUUGUUUACUUGUGUGGUUUAUGUAUAUUAAUUGUGUUGGGGUGACAUAGAAAUUUUAUUAACUUUCUUUUUUUAUAUUCAUUGAUUAGUGUGUUUUUAAGAUCCAGGUUUAUCUUGAUUAUAAGUUUAAGUUACCUUAGGGAUAACAGCGUAAUUCUUUUGGAGAGUUCUAAUCGAUGAAAGAGUUUGCGACCUCGAUGUUGGAUUAAAAUUAGUAUUAGGAGUAGAAGAUUAAAUACUAGGUCUGUUCGACCUUUAAAUUUUUACA
rnacentral:rRNA from 1 species